CAACCGUGCCCACAUGGAGGCAGCAGCAGAACCUGCAGGAAACAGCCACGUACCAGGCUUGAUCAUGCUGACUCAACAGCAUUGCUGAUGUCUCAGGUGUCCGGUCCCCAUCACAUCAGCAUGCCUGCCGCAGGGGCACGGCUCCAAGCCCAUCCCUUUCCUCGGCUCAGAAGCCCUACGCAGCAACUGCAUCUCAUCAACAAAUUGCUGAUCAGUCACCCAGGGUCACGGAGUGGGAAAGAAGCCACUGCAACCAAACUGCAGGAGACAGGAGCCAAACAUGAGCAUAUCACACUCAGAAUACGAACGUAAAUGUCAGCGACUGCCCUAAAACCUUCCACAUUCUCCACUGUUUCUCCCAUCUUAUCACCUAGGACCGAAAUUGAAGAGCCAGGUCUUGAAGGAGGAGGCGUGUAUCAGCUUUCUUGUGUGUCCUACUUUUAUUACACUCCCAGUCUUGCAGUCUUCCCCUGACAUCCUUCCCAAAUUGCUGGAGAAGAUGAAGUUUCCAGUGGGAAACUUCUGGUCAGCGCAGCGGUGGACCUCCUGCCACUUUCACGUAGUAAGAAAAUCAAGUGUGUCUGCACUAACUGCAUAAAAACUAAAAUUGCUACACCCUGUCAGCUGCAGCAGUACGAGGAUUAGCCCAGGA